UAUAAUUUUAUUGAUUUCCUUGUACAGGGUUUGAACUUUCUUCUGAAUCUCAAUGAUCUUCAUUUCCAUUUAGAUUCUGAAUUCUAUUUCAGCCACUUCAGUCUGGUUAAGAACCAUUGUUCAGGAGCUCGUAUGGUCAUCUGAAGCAGGAGGAACUCUUCAUUUCUGUAGUUCACCUCCCCUGAGGAAAAAAAAAGUAACUACUGAGUAUAGGAGAAAGUUUCCAGCCUUCUUUACCAUGACAUGAUUAUUUGAGACAUAAAGGGGAAACUGCAUGCCAGCAUCUGAAAUACUGGGAGUCAUUUCUUCUCUCAUUUACUCCGCAAAUUUAUAUACAGAGAGCACUGUAACUGGCAUUAUUGUGAUUAAAAUGACAAAUAAAAAUAGACAUAAUCUUUGCUGUGUAAAUUUAUCUACCGGUACCAUAUCUCCCAGAUUUUUUAAGGACAGUCCUAGUUUAAAGGACUCUUAGGCCACCAAUUCUUUUGAGAUCACUUAUUUUGAUGGGAUGCAGAAAAUGUACUUACCCUCAAAGAUAGAUGAAAUUGAGGAAUAUAUUAGGCAUAUUAAGGCAACACAGAAUUCCUGUUUCUAAAUAAAAUUUAAAAGACUUGAGCAAAA